rnacentral:sRNA from 1 species
UUGCUGUUUCGCUUCGAGUUCCGAUUAC